AGGGGUUUGGCCGAGUGGUUAUGGCGAUGGUUUUAAGUUCUUUAGUUUAACACCAUUAUCGAGAGAUGCACGGGUUCGAACCCCGUAGCCCCUA